rnacentral:rRNA from 1 species
GACGAACGCUGGCGGCGUGCUUAACACAUGCAAGUUGAACGGAAAGGCCCUGCUUUUGUGGGGUGCUCGAGUGGCGAACGGGUGAGUAACACGUGAGUAACCUGCCCUUGACUUUGGGAUAACUUCAGGAAACUGGGGCUAAUACCGGAUAGGAGCUCCUGCUGCAUGGUGGGGGUUGGAAUGUUUCGGCGGUUGGGGAUGGACUCGCGGCUUAUCAGCUUGUUGGUGGGGUAGUGGCUUACCAAGGCUUUGACGGGUAGCCGGCCUGAGAGGGUGACCGGCCACAUUGGGACUGAGAUACGGCCCAGACUCCUACGGGAGGCAGCAGUGGGGAAUAUUGCACAAUGGGCGGAAGCCUGAUGCAGCAACGCCGCGUGCGGGAUGACGGCCUUCGGGUUGUAAACCGCUUUCGCCUGUGACGAAGCGUGAGUGACGGUAAUGGGUAAAGAAGCACCGGCUAACUACGUG